rnacentral:lncRNA from 1 species
GUGAUCUUCUCACCUCAGCUUCCCAAGUAGCUGGACUACAGCUCAUCAACACUACAAAUCUAAAGCUGAAAGCUCAGGGUACGGUAAUGACAGAUGGAAACUUCAUUACAGAAAGCAAUGAAGAACACCCAAGUGGUAAAUAUGUGGCUGGUCUUGGCUCAUUCCUGCUCCUCCCUGCUAGUAUCUCAAAGCCACCUUACAGGAAUGUAAAAGCCACACUACCCAAUUACUGCAACUCAAAGGAUAAAUGUCAACAUCUAUACAAAGUAUUGUCAGAAAGAGUGUGAAAAAAAGGACUGACCCCUAAAGAGAAUUAUUAUUUGGGUGCAAAAUUUGAAAGAGCCAAGUAAGAAGACAAGCUUUCCAGAGCAAUUGCCACCAUAUUUUUCAGCUCUGUAUUCCAGAAACACAAGAUUGUCAUAUAAGAAACACAAGUGUAGACCAGACCCAUGACUUGCUCCUAAACAACAGAAUAUGACAAAUGGAAUGGCACGUCACUCCCAUGAUUAUGUGAUGUUAUAUGACUGUGUCUUGCUAGCUGGCUGGCUCCACAGACGUUCUCUCUCCCUUGCUGGCUGUGAAGAAGCAAGCUGCCAGAACUCCUAAAGCCACAUGGAGCUCAUUGCUGCCAAAAGGAAUUGGGAAGCAAAUCCUUCCCUAGCUGAGCCUCCAGUUGAGAGCCAGUCCUGGCCAACACCUUGAAUGUAGCCUUGUAAGACCUUCUGAGGAGGACCAAGCUAUGCCGUAUCCAGAUGUGUGACCUGCAGAAACUCUGAGGUAAUAAUUGUGUGCUGAUUCAAGCUCCCAUGUUUGCAGUAAUUUCUUACGCAGCAUAGAAACAUAGACUACAAAUGUCUGGAAAAGAAUAGCAUGUGGCUUUUUAGCCAACCUGUGUGUGAUUUCAAGGGAGCAGGAGAUUUUAGAGGCAAUUAGUCUUAUAAAGGAUAUAUGAGUCCAUUUUGCACUGCUAUGAAGGAAUAGCAGAGACUGGGUAAUUUUACAAGGAAAAUAGGCUUAUUUGACUCAUGGUUCUGCAGGCUGCACAAGAAGCAUGGUGCCAGCAUCAGUUUUUAAUGCGGGCCUCAGGACACGUACAGUCAUAGUGGAAGGCAAGAGGAGCUGGAUGUGGCACACCUUAAGAGAGGAGGCAAGACAGAGGGUGCAAGAAGUUCCAGAAUCUUUAACUACCAGAUCUUAUGUGAACUUAUGACUGUGGGGAGGGCACCAAGCCAUUCAUGAGGGAUCUGCCCCCAUGACCUCCCACUAAGCCCCACCUCCAACACUUGGGAUCACAUUUCAACAUAAGAUUUGGAGGGGGAAAAUAUUAACAUUAUUAAUAUCUGAAUUCUAUUAGAGACGAAAGGGAAAUUUUCCCACACGCUAAACAUUCUAAGUUGACUAGAGAAAGAUAAGGAUGUAUAUAGAGUAGAUUUCUAAGACCUAUACUAUUUUUAAAACCUGGUGGGAUUUGGGACAACGGUGAAGAAUGAAGCAUAUCAAUAAUAAAGACAUCCUCUUUUCACUUUUAUCAAAAAGGAUAAUGACGAGAGAUAUUGGUACCCAGAGUAGGAUAGAAAUAUACUUGAUGAGAGUAAAAGAUUUCGUAGAGAUGUCAAGAAUGAGAGAUAUGUGUCAGUUUAAAUUUUGUUUUAACUACAGGUAUUUUGACUAUGAAGCUAACCUUUUCCUUUUCCAAAAUGGAAGCAUGCCUUCUGAAAGGGAAAUUGUUAAUUACAUGUGCAUGGAUAUGGACUCAUCGGGAGCUAAUUAUUUCAAUAGAAAUGCUUGGAGGUUUCAAAAAUAUUUGUUUAUUGGGAAUGUAAACUUGUGGCCUUAAAAUUGAUGAGAGAUAGUUCCUCCUGAUUUUGGCAGGCUCCUUUCUCUAAAAUUAACUGGAUAAAUCAUAUUAUAGAGAAAAAAUAUAGAUGCUAGAGAAUACAAACAACACCCACAAAGGAGAAACUCCUAUGGAAAUGGAAGAAAGUUUUGAAAUGAAGUGGUGGUUAUGGUUUGUGGAUGGGUGCCUAGUGGCUAGGGUCUGAGGCAGAGGGUAUCUGGGCUAUGAGGGGUUUAAAGAAAAGUUUGAAAAAUUCAGUUCUUGCCGAUCGUUCUUUGCUGUGCAAUUAUUAUUGAUAACUGCUUCCUGCAGAAACCAGUGACAAAGACCCAAAGGUGGUACACACACCUAUCAGGUGAGGAGUUGGGAAAAAAUCUGGAGACUGUGUAGCCCUGGGAGCCACACUCUCCCACUUCCCACUAUUAUACUGCCAUCAUUCUUACCUGGGUCGCACCGGCAGAGAUUCUGAUGUAACUGACCUAGGCUGAUGACCUCAGCAUCAUCGUUUUCAGAGCUUACCAAGUGAUUCUAACAUGCAAGUCUUGAUCUGAAGGUGUUGCUUAGUGACAAAGGAGGGUGAUUAAUUUUGGUUUUAUGAUGCCUGAGACUUUCUACCCUAAGGCUCAUGCCUGUUCACUCCUUGUACUCACUUCGAAUGAGAGAUCCAAGUGUGGGUUUCUGCAGGCGUUUGAGCCCUUUCUCAGCAUACCCUAUAUGAUAUCCCUGGGAGAGAAUUAUUUCAUUAGCCAAAAUAAUGAAAUAUUUAUGGAACUUAAUUAUCUUGAAAGAAAAACAACAAAACAAAGAUCCCUGGAAGUAUUAGAACACAUGGAUGAAAAUAUUUAAAUAAAUUUAUUAUAUAGAUUAAAAGACAUAAUGGACAAAACAUGGACAUACUGGACAAUAUUUGGAAUCCCAUUUCAACUUAAGAUUUGGAGAGGACAAAUAUCUAAACUACAUCAGAGGGGAAAGAGAAAUUU